UUUUCAGCAGGGUUGGUUUGCAGAACUUGAUGUGGCCCACGGGUCUAAAAAGUUGGCCCACCAAUGCUCUAGAUCCUGCAUGGAGGAAUAUUGUUGCAACCUUUCCAUACUGCAUCCAUCCCCUCUCUCCCUUUCACGUCACAGAACUAUGAUUAUCUCUGCAAACAUAGAGAGAUCAGGCACAAAUUUGGCCUGCAUUUUUGUUGAAAGGCCUCUGUAAAAUGUAGGUUUAAAUAAAGGAUAUUUACUUAAAUAUUAUUUUUAUUACGAUACUCUUUAUACGUUUGGCUUUAAUAGUGCUUUAACUUAAUUGUUUUUACUUGUAAAAACUUUUUGAAGUGUAAAGAAGUCUAUCAAUCAAAGGUAUGACUGUUUCGCAAAACAAUAUUAAUGGCGUCUAUUCCUCAGACUAACAUUGUGUGGGAGGAGAAUUUACAGUAUGAGUUUCGUUUCUUAGGAACAGGUGAUCAUUACACAUUCACCUGUGCUGUACGAGCAUCACAAUCGUCUUCAAAAUGUGGAUUCUCCUCUUAUGGAUCUUGGUCAUCUGGAUUAUUUUUGCGGUGGACGGGAAAACUGUUAGCCAGUGUGGUCUGGUUCUUCAAACGGUGAGGACAGCGGUGUGUCAGCUUUACCUGGCGCUCUUAUACCUGCGUCAUGCCGCAAAACACUUUUUUACUGCUGACGGUUUUUUAAAACAGCUCGAUUACCCUGAGUGUGACUUGAGUUUCUAUACAGCAAUACCAAAAGAUUAUUUCAGGGCGUGUUGGAGAAAAGCCGCCGUGUGUUUGCUGGAGUCGGCGUGUUUGUUUAUGGAGUGUCUCUGUCAGUGUUUGGCGGUGGUUUCUUCUGUGUUUGUGGCUGUGCGGCUCGUCCUGCAGGCGGCGCUGUUUCUCAGUAUUUCCACUGUGCGCUGGAUGCAAACCAUACUGCUUCAUGAUAAACUCGAGCUGGAGGAGUGGGAGAAACAGCAGAAGAAGGAGACAAAAAUAAUACAGGAGCAAAUAAGUCAUGUGGAGAAAUACAUCAACAAUUCUGAUCUUUUAUUUUUGCGCGAAAAGACAAGAGCAUAAUCAGGCUGCCUGCCAAUUACAGGGGGGUUGCGGGGGAUUGACACCUUAAUAACGCUUGAUCCAUCCUGAAGGACGUCAAAACAAGAUGAUACAGGGCCAGCCUUUUAAUAGUGAGAAGUAGUUUGAUCUGUAUUUUUAACGAUGUUAACAAUUAAAAUAACCAAAAAUAUAAAUACACAUAAUAUAUAAAAUAAAUACCCCCCCCCCCCCCCCCCCACACACACACACACAGAAUGGUUCAUACCAUUGUGAACGCAUAAUGACGCCAAUCAGAUCGCCAUUGCUAGAAAAUACGUUCAACAGUGUGAAACAGGCAGAUAGACUUCGUAAGUGUCUGUCAACAAUGCACUUAUCAUAAAAUAGUUGUUUGUCCCUGCUGAAAAAACAGGCUGGCUAUGCUGGUUGUCUGGUAGAGGGGUUUUGGCCAUUUUCAGCCUGGUCUUAGCUGAGAAAUGACCAGCUAAAACUAUCUUGGCCAGGCUGAGAGGCCAGCUAUGACCAGCUUAAUCCAGGCUGGGCAAACUGGUUAUUUUAGCUGAUCAUUUUCCAGUCUUACCAGCUAAGACCAGCCUUGAAAUGGC